AAUGGCACAAAGUUAUCAAUACAAUAAUGGCACAAAGUUGGGAGUGAGACAUCUUAUUUUUAAGAGCUUGAGAGACUGAGAUGUCUUUAGAUUGAAAAAAGUUGAAAACCCAAUCAGAACAUUUUGUUUCUCAAUGCCAUUGUGUGAUAUGCUUUAAGUUUUCUUUUUAGUUAAUUUCACCAUCUGGAGAGAAAACUAGAGAGAGAGAUUGAUCAAAAAACAGAGAGAGUUAGAUCAGUUCGUCGUGGAGGAAGGAAGUAGUGACGUCGGGGGCGGAUUUGGAGACCAUCACAGGCUAGACGAGUCGACUAGACCAAUGAUCGAUCCCGCCCCUAUUUGUAGCUCUAGCCCGAACCCAUCUUCUACUUUGUCUUCUCUUCGUUAGUGUAUGGGAUUACAUCGAAACUAUGAACUAAGGAAUUAUUUAAAAACCAUUUAUUCCACUUGGACGAGUUAGUUUUGAUCUUUCACGUCACAUGGAUCUGUUUUUCAAGUGGCCAUCACUUAGCUUGAAGAGGCGUUGUUGAUUGAGCCAAAGAAACAUGCUGCCAUUUGGUGCCUCAGUAAUGCAUACACCGCGCUUGUGUUUUUGACUCCUGAAGAGUCUGAAGCUAAAUACAACUUUGACUUAGUUUCUCACUUCUUUCAACUUGCUGGGAUGAGGUCAUUUGCUUUUCCAUUUGAGAUCAAGGGUUAAUAAUACCGAUUCUUUUUGGUAUUUGGUUUUGAAUACUUGUUUCAUCUUUGCAGCAACCGGAAAAUGAAGCCUACCAUAAAUCACUUGAAAUGACAGCAAAUGUAUUGUAGAUUAGAACAAUUAACCGACUUAGUUCAUGUUUUUGCCUGGUUUAAGGAGUUUUCAUCCUUGCAUAAAGAAUGAAAUAUUGUUGCUGCACUGUGGUUUAGUGAAAGAUUAUUCUCUUUGUUUUAAGCACAAGCUCUUAACUUGUAAAGAUUCGAUUUGUUGACCAAUUCAUAGGAAGGGUAUAUGUUUCAGCUGA